ACUUCUUGAGGCUGAGUAGCUAGAUGAAACUUAAGCUUCUCAGCUGCACUCCUUAGUUUCCCACCAAUGGAAAUGAAAGCUUGAGGAGAUGUGUGAGGGCUCUGGAAACAUCCCUGGAGAAAGCCAACUCUACUGGAGCUUUACUGGUGAAUGUGUUGGAGCUGGGUAUUCAGACUAUGCUGGACUACAGCAGAAGUUUCCAGGACCUAGAAGUAUAUGAAGUAUUAAUAACAUCUUUCACCACUGGAAAUUGAUGGAAAGCAUGUGAUUUUGGCAUUCAUGGAACUGCGUACAUUUCGUUUAAAAAAGAGAGAUUUGGACAGGAAGACGUGUCUAAUUCAACUCCUG